CCUCUUCUUCCCAAAAAUUUUAGAUUUCCCUCUCAUAUUCACAAACAAUUGGAAAUUUAUCUCUCAUAAUCGAUCGUAUCCUCCGCUCAAUCCUCACUGCAGCCCUCGACAGGCGUUGUGUUCGAAUGGUCCAUCUCCAGAUCUCGUGUAGUUAAAAGAUAAGUUUUCUCAUAUGCUUAAUUUCUGUUGUUUAUAAAAAAACCGACUAGGAAUGGAGUUGCUAGUAUUGAAAUCCUAAACUGGACAUGACUAGACGGGUUGUGAUCGCGGGUUCAACCCGAACCCGAUAAUCGUAUCAUACAUAUGAACCCGAACACGACCCGAAGUUUCGUGGGUAACCCGAACACGACCUGUUAAACCCUAAAUCUUUUAAUUUUUGUCUGAAAUUAAUAUAUUAAAAUUAGAAUUUACUUAAAAACACAAAUGCUCGAAAAUCGAAAUGCCCAAUUAACUUCAAUAUGCCUUCAGCAACAUAUCUUGAAAAAAAUCAGUCCUGGUAUGAAUUUUUUUUUUCUUAAAAUCUAAUGGAAUCACCAAAAAACAUCAUGGCUCAAAAAGGAACACCCAAAGCUCAUCCGACUGCACUAAGAUCUUGAGUUACAACAAUUCUUUGUUCUAUACACAUUACAAAGUAGUUUGAUUAAACAAAUUGUUUGUUUGUUUGUUUACUAAGAUUUGAUUGGAAACUUAUUCCUUAGUAGUUAUAAAUUAAUCAAAUGCUACAUAAGUUCCUUACUUAAGAACUUCUUAGUGAUUUGGUGGUCUAUCAGUAACUUGCUAAAGCUACUUAGACCAUGUGUAGUGGGGCGUUUUCUUUAAAAAAAAUUCAAAAAAAACGCCCUAUAACGCCUACCCCUCCAUUACAUGGGGCGUUACUUUUCAAAAAUUUGGAAAAAAAGUUCAGGCGGCGUUUUCUUUAAAACGCUCAAAUGGAACAAAGGGAGGAAUCUUGACCUUUGACUAACCAAUAGGAAUUAAUAUUAGUGGAUGACUUUGAAUAUAGUUUUUUUUUUUUUUUUUUUUUUAAUCCUUUUUAAUAAUUGGAAGGGGCAUUAUGGGGCAUUAUACCCACUACACCACUUUUGCUAUAAUGCCCCCUUGCUGACUAGGACGCCACGUGUCGUAUAAUGCCCCAUGGUGGGGGCAUUAUAAGGUUCUACCACUACACAUGGUCUUAUUGGAUGUUUAAAUGUCAAAUAGAAACCAAAUGUAUGAAUUAGGUUUAUAACAAUAAAAGUUUGGAACGGGCCCCAAAUUUUAACUUUAUUUUGGGGCUCCAAAAUGGUUUCUAGGAAAUCGAUCUGAAGAACUAUGUAGUUAUACUAUUAAAUGUUCGUUGCCAUUGCUGCUGAAUUUUUGAUUGACUAUAACAUUCUGUGCGUUUUAUAAUAGAACACAAAUUAAGAGCUAAAGUAAGUGAAUUUGGUGAAGUUGCAUUUGCUCAUUGUAGCACUAGGAAGCUUUCUCAGGCUUGUAAAUCUCAAGGUGGCUUUUUUAUUAGUGAACAGGAUAUUAAGGGCCUACCUUAAUUAUAGGUUGAAUAUAGUGAGUUGGUUGAUGCGAUGACAACAAGCAGUAAGUGCAGAGAACUAUGAAGUGGGAAAUAUGAUUGCUUAGAAAGGGUUAACACGACGAUUAUUUUACUCGCAAACAAGAUUGUGUAAGAGAUUCACGAAUGUAAUGAAGUUUUGAGUUUCUGUUCAAACAUUUAAUGAUUAUUUGUUUUGUAUGUUUGGUAUUUAGACAUAGGUUGACGCUUAUUAGACUUUUGUUUGCAAACAUUGGAAUCUUUGGAAGAUGAUUGAUUGAACUUUUUAAUUGAAGUGAUUAUAUUAU
rnacentral:lncRNA from 1 species